rnacentral:rRNA from 1 species
ACUCCUACGGGAGGCAGCAGUGAGGAAUAUUGGUCAAUGGUCGCAAGACUGAACCAGCCAUGCCGCGUGCAGGAAGACGGUCCUAUGGAUUGUAAACUGCUUUUAUACAGGAAGAAACCCUCCCACGUGUGGGAGCUUGACGGUACUGUAGGAAUAAGGAUCGGCUAACUCCGUGCCAGCAGCCGCGGUAAUACGGAGGAUCCAAGCGUUAUCCGGAAUCAUUGGGUUUAAAGGGUCCGUAGGCGGCCUUAUAAGUCAGUGGUGAAAGCCCAUCGCUCAACGAUGGAACUGCCAUUGAUACUGUAAGGCUUGAAUUAUUGUGAAGUAACUAGAAUAUGUAGUGUAGCGGUGAAAUGCUUAGAUAUUACAUGGAAUACCAAUUGCGAAGGCAGGUUACUAACAAUGGAUUGACGCUGAUGGACGAAAGCGUGGGGAGCGAACAGGAUUAGAUACCCUGGUAGGAUAGCG